rnacentral:ncRNA from 1 species
UGGAGGUCCGAACCCACUAAUGUUGAAAAAUUAGGGGAUGAGCUGUGGGUAGGGGUGAAAGGCUAAACAAACUUGGAGAUAGCUGGUUCUCUCCGAAAACUAUUUAGGUAGUGCCUCUUGUAUCACCAUCGGGGGUAGAGCACUGUUAUGGCUAGGGGGUCAUCGCGACUUACCAACCCAUUGCAAACUCCGAAUACCGAUGAGUGCCGAGCAAGGGAGACAGACGUCGGGUGCUA